rnacentral:rRNA from 1 species
UAGAUCUCAAAUCAGUAGACACCC